rnacentral:rRNA from 1 species
UACGAAGGGGGCUAGCGUUGUUCGGAAUCACUGGGCGUAAAGGGCGCGUAGGCGGCUUUAUAAGUCGGGGGUGAAAGCCUGUGGCUCAACCACAGAAUUGCCUUCGAUACUGUAUGGCUUGAGACCGGAAGAGGUAAGUGGAACUGCGAGUGUAGAGGUGAAAUUCGUAGAUAUUCGCAAGAACACGAGUGGCGAAGGCGGCUUACUGGUCCGGUUCUGACGCUGAGGCGCGAAAGCGUGGGGAGCAAACAGG